rnacentral:rRNA from 1 species
AACGAACGCUGGCGGCAUGCCUAACACAUGCAAGUCGAACGAGACCUUCGGGCCUAGUGGCGCACGGGUGCGUAACGCGUGGGAACCUGCCCUUAGGUUCGGAAUACCUCCCCGAAAGGGGUGCUAAUAACGGAUAAUGUCUUCGGACCAAAGAUUUAUCGCUUUUGGAUGGGCCCGCGUUGGAUUAGCUAGUUGGUAGGGUAAAAGCCUACCAAGGCGACGAUCCAUAGCUGGUCUGAGAGGAUGAUCAGCCACACUGGGACUGAGACACGGCCCAGACUCCUACGCGAGGCAGCAGUGGGGAAUAUUGGACAAGGGACGAAAGCCUGAUCCAGCAAUGCCGCGUGAGUGAUGAAGGCCUUAGGGUUGUAAAGCUCUUUUACCCGGGAUGAUAAUGACAGUACCGGGAGAAUAAGCUCCGGCUAACUCCGUG